CUUCUAGGUGGUUUAUGGGGAUCAUCUGGUUCAGUUGCUCUUUGUUCAGUUUGGAGGUUCAUAGAGUGAAGAGUCCCAAUACUUUAACCGCAGUUCAUGUUGAAUAAUUUGCUGCUGGACUUGCAAAGAAGUCUGCAACUGUAGACCAAUCUUCAGUUAAGGCUGCAGCUUGGUGACUAGAAAUGUGAAACUAAAGACCAGCUUUGAAAGGUUUGUUGGGUACCAUAAAAAAGGAUACCCAAAUCAGAGAAAUAAAAAUCGCAAAAAGGAGAUAAGGCAAAUCACCCAAGAUCACCAAGGCUCGGGCGCGGGUUCCAUCUCGCCCGACCCCUUGGCCUCAGGCGCAAGCUCCGGCUCGCCCGACCCCUUGGCCUCGGGUGCAAGUUCCGCCUCGCCCGACCCCUCUUGGGCUCGGGCGCAAACACUGCCUCGCCCGAGCCCCCAUCUCGGAGCCAGGCUUCCAGCGCACGAUGGCCGUACUCUCGACAUGACAUACGCUGUGAUCUCCAUACUGCGGCAGGGCAUGGCAGCAACUGUUCCAACCACCCCGGCCACUGUGUAGCCUUACCUCUUUCACUGUGCAGCCUUACCUCUUUCACUGUGAAGUACCAUCUCACAGUAAAAGAGGUAUGGAAGAGAUUAACCUGUGUCACUGUGGCUAUCUUCUCCUACUGUUACAGGACAUGCUGCAGUAUCACCGACCCGACCCCCACAAUCUCAACAGGGCUCGGCGACCCUCCACAGGAGCAACCAUACCGUCGACCACGCCCCAAGGACGAGAUGGGCAAGCCUUCACAGGGUCGGAACUGUGACUUUACCAUUUACAAGAAGUAGAUCACCGGUCAACACAUGAGAAAACCCUGCGACCCCUUAUGGCUAUAAAAGGGGAGCCAGGGCACACAUCCAACAGACACGACACCAGAACUCGAAGCAAGGCCACACACACAUACUAGAGUGGCAAGCAACGCUCUGUCCACCACGCAAAGUCGAGACCUGGGACUUAGCCCUAUCUCGCGACCUGCUUGUAUACCCCUACUACGAGCACUUUCGCGUGCAAGGCAAUACAGAUCCCCAAUCUCACACUGGACGUAGGGCAUCCUUAGCCCGAACCAGUAUAAAUUCUUUGUGUUCCACUUGCAUCACUAUCCGGGUUUAGGCAGACACGCAGACUUAUUACUCGUUAGUGCCUAGACGACGAGUCUAGACGCCGACAAGGUUGAACAGCAGUCAAGCUGUAGUGGGAACACUUGACUAGGAGUAGUGAGGACACAGAUUUUUGGUAGGCCAUUGUGUCCUUAGCUAAUAAGUAUUGCAGGCUUAUCCUGCAGCUAGGAUAGUAGACUUUGACUGCAGUACAACAGCCCACCUUCAGUAGCUUCAGUUCAUACACAAACUGAACCUACCCCUUUGUGUAUAUAAAUGCAGCCCUAGUAAUGUAUUUUUCAGUUCAGUUGCCACAACCAAAGUGCAGAGCCUUGGCCAACGCUAGAGCUUCUGCAGUGUAUGUGCUGUUCUCAACCCCUUCUUCUACCUCUAGCCAUAGUGAGUGAGUGUGUGUGCUGGUAAGCUUACUGCUUACCUGUGCAGGAAUUCCAGAGACCAACAAGUGGUAUCGGAG
rnacentral:lncRNA from 1 species